rnacentral:misc_RNA from 1 species
GAUGAAGGAACGUAGCAAAAUGCGAUAAGUAAUGUGAAUUGCAGAAUUCAGUGAAUCAUCGAAUCUUUGAACGCACAUUGCGCCCGCUGGUAUUCCGGCGGGCAUGCCUGUUCGAGCGUCAUUUCAACCCUCAAGCCCCCGGGUUUGGUGUUGGGGAUCGGCUCUGCCCUUCUGGGCGGUGCCGCCCCCGAAAUACAUUGGCGGUCUCGCUGCAGCCUCCAUUGCGUAGUAGCUAACACCUCGCAACUGGAACGCGGCGCGGCCAUGCCGUAAAACCCCAACUUCUGAAUGUCGACCUCGGAUCAGGUAGGAAUACCCGCUGAACUUAAGCAUAUCAAUAAGCGGAGGA